UCCCUACACACUUUGCAUUACCACAGUGAGUGCUUGGGACCAAAUAUGCUUAAAUGCCACUAUGGUCUUUAUGUAAUAAUGUGACACCCGUGCCUACACACUUUCAAGACCACCGGGAGUACUUGGGAAUGAAUGUGCUUAAAUGCCACCAUGGUCCUCAUUAAAAAUGACACCCCAACUGUAUACACUUUGCAUCGCCACAGUGAGUUCUUGGGACCAAAUGUGCUUAAAUGCCACUAUGGUCCUUAUGUAACAAUGGGACCCAUCCCUACACACUUUGAAUCACCACAGUUACUACUUGGACUGAAUGUGUUUAAAUGGCACUAUAGUCCUUCUAUAACAAUGAGACCCCAUCCCUACAGACUUUGCAUCACCCCAGUGAUUACUUGGGACUGAGUGUGGUUAAAUGCCACUAUGGUCCUUACACAACUAUGCGACCCCCAUCCCUAUACGCUUUGCAUCACCGCAGUGAGUACUUGGGACCUAAUGUGCUUAAAUGCCAAUGUGGUCCAUACGUAAAAAUGGGAAUCCCCCAUCCCUAUCACUUUGCAUCACCACAGUGUGUUUUUUUGAUCUAAUGUGCUUAUGUGCCACUGUAGUCCUUCGGUAACAAUGGGAGCACAUCAAAUUCACACUUUUCUAUCACCACAGUGAGUACUUGGGACUGAAGUCGUUUAAAUGCCAUUAUGGUCCUAUGUUACAAUUGGACCGCAUCCCUACACACUUUGCAUGACCACAGUAAGUACUUGGGACUGAAUGUGCUUAAAUGCCACCAUAGUCUUUAUAUAGCAGUUGGAUUUACCCUGUGCUCUAAGUGUCUGUAUUAUGCCAAGGGUUACAUCAGUGGGAUAAUUAUAUUAGUUUAGCAGUUGUCCCUCAUAUUAGUCUGGCGUACAUGAGAAGAAGCAUCAUUAUAUUACCGUAGAGUGGACACGGUACUCCGAGUAUGCUUAAAUGCAAAGGUGGUCCCUUUUGUUAGUUUAGAAACACUACCUCCUACAUCUUUUCCUUUAGCAGAAAAGGCAUGUGAGACUUUAAACUUCUAAUUGUGCAUGUGAUCCCUUCUGGCAGUCUAACAUUCCAUCUCUUCCUGAUACCUUUGCAUUACAAGAGAGGGUACUGGUGACUGUGAAGGUGGAAGCCAUCCUCUCACCUGCUAGCAUUACAGAAGUCCAUGAGAACCAGAGGCCCUUUGUUUUGUUUUGCACUGUUAAUGUGCAGUAUUCCUAUCAUCUUGUGUGUAGUCGAUAUGAGCUCACUCAUUUUCCUUAUAUUCAACAGUGGAUGCACUUUCCUAAGGACCUUUGUACUAAAAUACUUAAAGUGAAUGAUGAUCAUUGACCUCAACUGUAUGCUUUAUUUAAGGCCACUGUAGUCUCUUCAUCUGCCAAGAAAGUGUAUUAAUUACCUCAGUUAUUUUUGUUUUAUGUGCAGAAUUCCAAUGUUUAUGGUCCACAAGUGUGCCUUUCAGGUCAGGACUCCUUUGCUUAUGGAAGCAGAGAUUAAUGACCUUAAAGCCCUUCUUUUGGGACUGUGGAUACGUUUAGUAUGUUGUCCAUGGUCUUGUGAGUGAACUUGGGUUCCUGAGUCUUCACAGCCUUUUUGCUUUACUGUCCACUUAAGGCCCAUUUCUCAAAGUAUUAGUGUGCAUAAUAAUUACGUUAGUAUCCUUCCCCUUUGCAAGUACCACAGGAAUUGUGACCCAUUAGGUCCCAUUUCUUGGCCUGUUAAUAUGCUUGAUUAUAUCUGUGUGGGUUCCUAUGCACUAGCCCAGGACACCUGUCCGUACUACCUUUCUGUUCCAGCAGGGAGUGCCCCCUGCACAAGACCGUUAUACUAGGAUAGUCCAGGCACACAGCUGUAACUGACUACAACCAUACACAUGGGGCACGAAUGUGCGUAACUGCACAUAGUUCGUUCCUUUUGAAUAUGAUCCUACUCUGUUAGACCCCCUAAGUCACUAAGCCCUCUUUUCAUGGCUUGUUACUGUGCAUAAAUUCAUUUGUCCAUGUUCCUGUACACUAGGUAAACAUACCCGUCCUCAGUCCCUUAGCCUUUUAGUAAUGUGUGCCCACUAUUUUAAGAGCCUUGUAUUUGUACAAGGUACACGAUUUUAAUUUACUGUACAAUGUCCCUUGGAUAUUAAUGUACGUAAUUUUAACUUAGUUUGUCCUACCCUGUUGCCCUCAGUUUGCAGUAUACCAUGGUUGCCAACCCCUACAUCCCCUUGGCCUGUUAAUGUGCAUAAUUGCAUUUGUCUGUGUUCUUGUGCACCAGACAAGCACACUUGCCUGUUCUAUGCACUAGGUAAAUACCCUACCUACUUCCUUAGCAUUUUCAACAGGCAGUGCCCAGUAAUGAAGACACUUUCACUUGGAAAGUUCAUGGGCACAAAUGCAAUUUUCUAAGCAUGUCCUGUAUCAGAACCACUGUACCCUCUUUGCUUUACAGCAAGGAGGUGCAAUUCAACGAAUGCCCUUUCUUUUGGACUUUAAUGUGAAUGAUUGCAAUUGUCCAUCUGUUCUGUUGGAGGAGGAUUGCAUCCCCCCGCCCCCUCUGCAUUAGGGGCAUGUUAACCAUGAAUGAGCUCUUCUCUUGAGGUUAUUAAUGUGCAUAGUUGUUUCUGUAUGUGGACCUGUGCAGUAGGAAAGGAUGCUUUAUGCCCUUGCCACUGCCUUUGAAUUACUGCUGACCAUCGUGACCUCAGCUCUUGAACAAUUAUAUGCACCAAUAACAAUUAUCCAAAGUAUUGAUUAUUAGGUAGGAUGCCUGAACCCUCUUUGUAUGCAUCAGGGAUACUGACUAAGGCCCUUUUUGGGACUGUUAAUGUGACUUUGCAAUUAUCUAUGCCCCCUUCUGUUAGAGUAGGAUGCCAUUCCCUUGUACCCACUUUGCAUUACUACAGGGGCAACUGAGCACACAAAACCUCUCCUGGCAAUGUUUAUGAGCACAAUGGCAAUUAGCAGUGGGUUUUCCGCAGCCCCAAACAGAAACCCAUACUCCCACUCCUUUUGCAUUGCUCCAGGGUAUAAGAUUCCAAGUAGUCAUGGUCUUACCCUUACCUUCCCUCUCCCCAGCCCUUGCCUGUCCUUGCCUGCCCUUGGACCCUUCUGAUGGACUAUUAAUACUCACAAUUUCAGGUGUCCAUGUAUCUGACCAUUAGAUAAUAUUGUGCUUCCUCCUCCUUCCCAGCCCUGCCCAGAUGUCAUUGGUUUACCCAAUGUAUUUGUAUUGCUGUAAUGCCUCAGUUGCACUUUCCUUGGUCCCGCCCAUCCAUCAUGAACCCCUCCAUUUCUUAAUUUGCAUUGCUUCUGAGUAAUGCUGACUAUCCAAAGACCCUUCUGUGUUGUUAAUUAACACAGUACUGAUUGUCCUGUGUUUCAACCCAUCAGCCCAAGAUCUCCCUACCACUUCGAUGUUGUGAUUGUGCAGUGUUGACUACCAAAGCAGGCCUGAGUUAGGUGGAUGGGCCUUCACUCCUUUCUCUGUAUUUUUUAAGGAUCCCAAUUUCAAUUAUUGUCCCAUCGUGGGGACAAGAACCAUCCCUGGCCACCUCUGUUACUGCUUUACUGGGCGAAAAGCUCAAGGCAAGUCAGGCCCAGGGAGCUAUUUUUUAAGAAAGGCAUCUGAAUUGCAAGGUGGAAUUGAUAACCUGGUCAUUGAAUUUUUGAAGUUUAAAAACCCAUUUAUACCAUGUACCUGAUGACCAGUGUCUCUCAUUUUACUAAGGGUGGUGGGUCUGUGGAUAGACCACUGUGACUCUUGAUCUGGAGCACCAACCAGCCCCUACUUAUUUCAAGAUUGCUGUAAAAGGAUGAAAUAAGAGAACAUAUACUAUAGAUCACCUUGUUUGAUUACUCUCUUACAUAAAACACACCCUGUUUAGUUGUGCUCAUUUAAAGUAGCCUCAAGCACCACAGUGAAGUAAGGACUUAGAGAUGUGUUCCUGUUUCAAAAAAAUAAGCCAAGAUCUAAUUCUUCUGGAUGUAAAUUGCAACAGUGAGCUAGCUGCUGCCUGGUAAAAAUGAAUACUAGCCUAGGCUCUAGUGUGCAGGGUGUUUGGUGGCAGAGAAGUAUUUCAUGAGAAAAUAACUACUCAUUACAACAGCGGUUCUUUGUAAUCACUGAGAAAGGAAGGAUACUAUUUCCGUGAGAAGGAUGCCAAAAGGUCGGCCCAGCUCAGGGUGCGGUUUGCACUAAUAGCUCCUUGGACAGCUGUAAGAAGAGUCUCUGGCUCUUUAGAUUACUGGAUGAAUUCUGAGCCAGUUCUGUACCGCUACUCAGGAAGGAUGGAACAAUAUUAGGUGGAUGGAAGCCUGCACUGGACAGCACCCAAAGAAAGACAUUCUGAGCAUUGGACACCUCAGGACUGGUCUACAAACAGCUCUAAGAAGCUCCACGUUCAACACAUCUUUUCUUUUGAGAAGCUGGAUGCGCUCCAAGUACUCUAAGAGGAUGGCUUGCAGGCCACUUGGACCAAAAGAUCUUCCUGAGAAGAAUAGGCUUGUUGCUUUACAGUCGUAGUGACCCAUUCCCUUUGACGGUCCCUAGGUGGAGAUGGGGCAUAAGGAUCCUCCAGGGGAAAGGCUCACUACCACUGGGUAACAACCCUAGGCCAGGAGGUUCAAUCAAGAUUCUUUCCUGGGCCCCGAUAGGAAGCUCAAGUCUCAAGACAACAUCAGAGCUCCUGAUUGUUCCUUUUAUACCUACCAUAAUCAUCUUUCCUAAAAGCAGUGCAAGGAGCAAGAAAUCUGAAUGCACCAAAGGAAGACUGAUAUGCCUGACACUGGCACUUUAGAAGAGCAAGAUGAAUGUGUAUUUCUUUCUUUGUCUGUUUCUUCCUUGAAUGUCUUUGGUCUUUGUUCUCUAAAGUGUGUCUUUCCCAUUUGUAUGGUUCUCUUGUUAGUUUCUUCUCUGUGUCUCAUUUUCUUUUUUGUUCACCGUGUCUCAUUUUCUUUUUUGUUCAUGAGAGUGGUCUGUGCCUUGUCUUUGCUCUCCCAGACCUGGCUCUUCUUUCCCUUUGUGUCUCUGCGUCACAUCUGGGUGCUUUGUGCUCAUUUCUUGUCCUGCCUACCUCUCUUUUUUUCUCUUUGUGAACUGAUUGUUUGUCACUCUCUCCCCUUGUUCGUUUGACGUUUUACCUUUUUCUGAUUCUACUGUUUCUACUCUAUCUUGGCUUUCUCUUUUCCACAUGUCCUUUCUGCCUCUCUUGGGCCAUUUACUCUCUUUUUUCAUGCUCUGUGUGCUUCUGUGUCUCUUUGUUCUUUGUGAUUUUCCAUUUCACCAGUCCUCUCUAUUCUCGUUUCUUCUCUGCUUUUCCCCUUCUACUGACUUUUGGGUCUUUCAGCCUCUUCAUGAGUCUGUGUCUCCCCCUCCUUGAUGUCCUAUACUCUUCUCUCCUUGCAUAUUUUUUGUGCAUGUGUGUGUUUGCUCAUGUGUGCAUGUUUGUGACAAAGGGGCUUCUAAGCCCUUUCUAAUAGGUGCAGAGUGUCAGCUAUCAAAAUAAACACUGCAGAGCAGUUCCUAUGCCAGACUGUCCUGUGCAAUGAUCCCAAACUAAAGAAGGCCCAAGGGUCCAGACUGAAGUAAAAGCCAACACCUAACAUGGACACAAGGUGGAGGGCCCAAGUAGAAGACAGAUGUUUGAGACUUGAAACCUGAGGACUAAAAUGGAAAACCCAUGCCCCAUGAUAGAUAGAAACCUCACACCUGAGACCAUUGGAAGCCCCAAGUGCCACGAUGUACAGAAGGUGGCCCUUGUUGGACAGAAGAGUUGACUGAAUUGGAUAGAGGGCUGAAGACCCAGGAUGGGAGGCUGAAAGCCUAAGAGUGGGGACUCAUGGAAAGGCCUGACACACAAGGCCCAAGAUCUGAGAUAAAAAGACCCACAUAAAGACCCACAUCAGACACACAUAAAGACCCAGGAGUCAAGCCUCUCUACGUGGACUUCAAGGCUAUCUUAAGACUAAAUUGUGUGGGAAGCUGCGGUCCUAUGACCCAGAAUCCAAAAGGAUAGAAGCUCCAAGAUCAAGCCGAGCACCCUAAACUUCAGAUCUUUUCUGUCCUCCCUUCUCUUGGACAUUUUCCUGUCUCCCCUUCCAGUUCUCCUAUCUCCACUUAAGCCCACUUAUUUUCAGAUGUCUUUUUUGAUGUAAGAGACAUCUUUAAAUUAGCAAUAGUAUGCCUGAGCCAGUUUUUAUCACACUUUUGAGAUAUUUAUUACAUUUUUGGUGUGUUUUUUUUUUAAAAAAAAAAAAACACAAAAAACACUUCCAUUUCUCUUCACCUCCACUCCAUUUGAGAGAGACAUAUAGGUGACAUUGUAUUUCAGUCCCCCCCUUUCCUCAGAAGCUAGUCUAGGCUGAUGAGAAGGGGAAAUAAGUGCCAGGCUAUCCAGGCCAAUGAGAAGGAUGAGACAAGAGAUACACAGAUGUGCCAGGCUGCUGAGAAGCACCAGCCUGCACAACUUACUUCUUUGAGCUUUGGUGAGCAAGAUUCCUGCCGUUUGGCAUUCCUAGUGAUGUUCCCCAAAAGGAUGACUGAGACCCAACGAGGCAGCCUGAACCCCCUGCUCAUAGUAGUGGCCUCAGAAUUUGGUAGAUGGCACCAACUCUGCCCUUGGCUUUAAUGCCCACCUCUAGGCUUAAAGGUUAGAGAACUUGGGAAUACUUAGCAGGUUGAAUCCUUUCCUUGAUUUCUUUCCUCUUAUCAUGAGGGAAGAUAAUUUAAAUGGUUGACAAUGUAUAUGAAAGCAAGGUGUUCUCAUUAAUAGUGUCGUGGCAGCCAUGCACAGCUAAUAUUUGAAAGUGCACUGUCAGUUGUGAAGUGUUAUGUAAAUUGGGUCAUCACACCCUUUUUCUCUAAAGGGUCAGAUGGUAAAUAUCUUAGGCUUUACAAGCCAUAUUGUCUCUGUUGCAUUUUUUUAAACAAUGCUUUAAAGAGGAAGAACUAUUCUUAGCUCAUGAACCAAGUGGAUUUGGUCUGUGGGCCAUAGAUACCCCAGAUGCAGAUGCUAGGGACUGUGCUGAAAAUAUUAAUUUCCUUGUGUGCUGUGCCUGUCCCUUUGUAAACCAUGAAAGUGCUUAGACUUCUAAGUUUCAGUUUAUGAAUAGAUAUUGAUUACACAGUAUAUACAUCCUACUGUCUAAGCACUGGAUAUAAAGAUUAAAAGAAGCAUGAAUAAAGUGCUUUGUCAAAGGUAUACAAUACUAUGCAGAUAUUAGGAAUUAAGUGGUUGAUAAAUAAAUAAUUCAUAUAUUUAUAGCCAUAGUGUUUCUGCUGCUAUGGUGAUUCUGAGUAUAAAUAAAGUAUUCCAGGUAGCAGAAAACACAUGGAAACUGCUUUUAAAGUAUACAAUAUACAGCAAACACAAGGGAGUAAGUUAUUGUGAUGACUUAUAAUGUGCGGAUAACAUGCUAGGAACUCAGGAUGACAAGGAAAAUAGAAAGUAUUCUCAAUUUAGAAUUAAAAAUUUCAGCUAGGAAGUGCAUUUUGAAGGGCUUUUUUUUGUAAACUAAAACACUAAAUAAAUGCCAAUGGGCUACAUGUUAAUGAAUGAAUGAAUACUAAUGCCUUUUAUGUGCCAACUAUUGUUAUGAGGAAAGAAGUGUAAAUGGUUAUGCAAAUUGAGAGUUUAAAUACUUGUUAAAGGACUAAACAUCAGUUGCCUACUAUGUGAACUCACGGUUAUGGCACUAAGGAGCUUCAUGCACUUAUCAUUUCAUUGUGCCUACAACUGAGGAGAAGGCAAUACAGAUACUAGCCUUAUGAACUGUAAAGCACCAUAGAACUAGAACUACUGAUUUUCUCAUUUGGUGCUGAGUACUAUAGGCUUAUAACAUUGUAUCACAGUUCUCAGACUAUGAACCAGUGUUGGAAAAAACUUGGGAAAGGAUUAUUCGCUAUUGAACACUCUGAAUAUAAUCUGUAAAAGAUUAAAUGUAUGAUGAAUGCGAGACUGGAUAAUAAUUGUAUAUUAUGUACCAGUCUUUUCGCUAGGCAUCAAGAUGUAAAGAUAAUCCAUCUUUAUUGUGUCCUAGGUAGUAGCAUAUAAUCUGUACAGUCAACUUGUAAGUCUUAAACUGCUGUACAUAUAUAAGCAAUAUCUGCUCAUUGAACAUCAAUGAUUUACUCUCUCUUAUCUCCAGAGAUGCAAAGUUUCAUUAUUGUUAUUGAAUCUGCAGCACAGGCUUGGGUCUACGUUUACGAAGCCUACUGUUCUAUACAGAUAAGGAAUUAACUGCUGGCUGAAUGAAUGAUUACUGAUUACUUUCUGUGAGGCUCAGAACUGCAUAUUCCCCAUGAUACAAAAAUGAUUUUAUCCUUAUAGGAUGCUCACUGGAGGGAAUGAGAUUCAGACUAAACGGUUAUUUAAUGAUGUAAACAUGGGGAAAAUAGAAUUGUACAAAGCAAUAUGCUAAAUCCUGAGCUAGGUAGAAAGAUACAACCCAGACCAGAAGGCUACUUGCUCCCUGGCCUGACUAAAGAGAUGGGAGAUGUUGUUUUUUAAAAGCAAGCUGUUCUGAUUCUCCCUCAGUUUUUUGAAUGCUGAAUACUGAAGAUGGAGGUGAAUUACAUCUACCCUGGCCUGGCUUAGAGACAUUUAAGGCAUAAAAAUAAAUGGCUCGGGUUUUCUUUUAAGUUCAUUUGAUAAACAGAGCAUAUUUUAUGUGAAAUGGAUCAUUCUAGGUCCUGAGCAUUACAAAAGUGAAAUGGGCUUACUCUAAAGGGCUUUAGAUGACAGAUCAUAGCUGAAGAUCUGAAAACAACUUUGAGUUUUGAGUAAAUAUUUGAGUACCUGUUUUCUGGUCCAGAAAACCCAUUGACUUGCCUUGGAGAUUUAAAAAAUAGGGGGGAAAAAAGGCAUGGUUCUUUCAAUAUAAAAUGACAUUUUCCCUACUUCUACAGUCCCAAAGUCACUUGCUCAUUGACCUAAAUUGAAGCCAGAAUGAUCAAGCGCUCAGGAUUUCUCCUUUAAUUCAUUAAUUUAAGAUUCUGCUUUUGUUGUAGUUAAAUGGUUUAAGAUGAGAAGGUGAAACAACUGGUUUUAAAAGUAUUUGCUCGUUGGCUUGGCUUAAAGUCAGGAAGUCACUUGAGCAAUAAGAGAUUCUUUCUAGUUUUUCCAUAUUUUGUAAAAAUGUAUUCACUCUGAAUAAAAUACUGUCUGAGGAGAGUGAAUAGAUUCAAAAGACCUAGACCAAGAUUCACUUAAAGCUUACUGGCUUAUGGUAGAAACAACAAAGUUUAUGACUGCAGUUCUUUCAUUUGUUGAAGAGCCUUCAUUGAGCAGCUGUGAUAAUAAGAUAUUGAGAAGUAAUGAUUAAAUAGAUCAACUUCUCUUUGGCAUGUUUCACAGAGUGGGAGUAAGAGAGGCUUUUAUUUAUUCAUUCAUACAAACAUUGGAGAAGGUGAUGCUAAAUGAAAUAGGUCUGGUACAAAAGGCACUUUGUCUUGGAGAUGCAAUUGAAAAACAAGAAAUGGAAUGAAACCUUUUCAUUUAUUCAUUCAUUCUACAAGUAGGCCUAUUGUGUAUAAGGUCCUUUGCUAGGUUCUCUGUUGGCCCCAAAGACAUGAACAACUGAAUGCUUUCCCAAAGAAAUUUUAAAAUUUCCUUUUGGGUUGUUUUUCUGAUUAGGGGCUUUGUCCCCGAACAACAUUGUACAAUUUAAUUCCCACUCCAUAUUUCUUCUACCAGUCUGGCCACUACAAUAAGCAGGGUUUCCACUGAGCUUGCUCCUUAAGUUGUAGGAACCCUCCUUAUAAUAGACAUUUUAUUUUUCCCAUCCCAUCCCUCAUAAGAGAAAGCUGUGACCACUGCUGGGCAGAAGGAGGGAUGACGAACGGCUAAUUCCCAAACCCUGGUCUCAAUGGCACCAGCCUUGGGGGACCUCUCAUACUCGAGCCAUACUUGCUGUUGAAAUGCAUUUACCACUUCUAUCUAUUUUCUACUCUUUAUCUUUUACAUUCUUUCAAAUAUCCACUACCUAAGUAGACCUCUGAAGAACAAUUCCCAGAUAGUACGUAGCAAGAUUGGAGACGGAGACCUGAUUCUCUUUUGUAACAGCUUUUCAACUUACACUUCAGAAAUCUCCUUCAUCAUCAAAACCUGCUCAAGAAAGAACUUGGUAUAGCAGAAUAAUGUCAGUGAAUGAAAAUUGUUUAAUUUUUACCAUGCUGAAAUUUUAAGAAUCAUAAAAAUCAGAAAAAUUGGAAGUAAUUGGCAAAAAUUGGAAAAAUACCGAAAACAACCCAAAACCUCUAAAUCUAGGCCCUCCGGGCUUUGACCUUUUCUAUUUUGAAAUCACUCACAGAGGGUGGGCUAGGAGGAAGAGUGAAAGAAAAGGUCAAACCUGUUUCUGAGGGCAGCCUGCCUUUAACUGGAUUGGUCGAUAGGCCAUCACUUUCUCCAGGUCUAACUGGGAUUGCUUUUUUUAGUUUAGUGCAAUUCCAAUAACUGGUCAUUGUUGAGAUGAUAAAAUUCUUUGUCACCACUCAUUUCUCUAAGUUCUUGAGAAACAGUUUUUGGCUGAAUGGUUAUCAGCUAAGCCUUGGGUUAGAUAACUAUGGGAUUUAUUAAUUAAAUCAAUUUGAAGAAGAUUUGAGGGUGGUGGGUGCAUUAGUAGAAAGUGGAAAGGAGAAAGUAACUGAAAGCCUUCCUUUCGCAGUUUCUGGCACCCUCCUACUACUGACAAAACAAGAACAAAAUAACUUGCCACCAUCUGAUUUUUGUGGCAUAAAGGAAGUUGUGAACAAAUCGGUCUUCCUAGGAAAUGGCUUUAUCUCUACCCUUCUGCCUCAAAGGGAAUGCAUGCCAAAAUGCUCCGGUAAACCGAAGACACUCUUUGACUUGUGAACUGAUGUGAGAUGCAGAAUCUCUGAGCCUUGAGUGUUUUGAAGAUUGAAAAGUCUUGCUAGCAUGGGUGACCCUGAAAAGCAAUUGAAAGCCAUCUAUCUACAUGUCACAACUGAGAAAAAUUGGGGGGUAUGUUGUCUAGUGUCAAAUAAAAUGUACUGUUUUGGAAA